rnacentral:lncRNA from 1 species
AGUGUAGAUCUCUUACUUUUUAGUUUUAAAUUUUUGAAAAGUAAUUGAAACUCUAGCACAAAAGAUGAUUUGUGUGGGGGUUGAAAAUCUAGAUUUAAAGACUAACGAGUAGUAAUAUAAAUUCGGCAGUUUAUUAAUCCAUCAAACAGUUUAGCAGCCCAGUGAUUCAUAUGCUUUUGUUUACUUGUUUUUUUUAAAAACCCUUUUCGUUGCUUUUGUUGCGUAAACAAAACCCCUCCCCUGUUUCUUUCUAUUAUGCUCUGUUCCUUUAUUUUACUGAGUCAUACUUGCCGAGUCAGCCGAGUCUAGUACCGAGUCGUUGCUUGGCUGGGUUGAAUUCUAGUCCCCUGUUUCCGAGUCAAUUUGCUGAGUUUUGUUCUUUGUUUCUGAUGAUGAGUCUUGCUUCGUUUUUAAUUGUCGAGUUUGUUUUGUUUCUUAAUGUCGAGUCUGGUUUUAUACUGAGUUGCUGGGUUUGUUUUUGGUGUUCGUCGUUUUUGUUAAGUUGUGUUUUCUUGAGUCAAAUUCUUGUUUAAGUUUUGAACUGAGUAGCUUAGUUUGUGAUCUAUUUUGUUGCUCUGUUCUGUCCGAGUUGCGUUUCUGAUGUACUGAGUCGCGAUUGAGUCAGUCCCGAGUCGCCUUCGAGUCCUGCAGUUUUGCUUGUUUCCGAGUCCACUGUAGUCGCGAG